CGUUCCUACGGGGGGCAGCAGGGGGGAAUAUUGCGCAAUGGGCGAACGCCUGACGCAGCGACGCCGCGUGAGGGAUGAAGGUUUUCGGAUCGUAAACCUCUGUCAGAAGGGAUGAAAGUGCGUGGUGCUAAUCAGCCGCGUAUUGACGGUACCUUCAAAGGAAGCACCGGCUAACUCCGUGCCAGCAGCUGCGGUAAUACGGAGGGUGCGAGCGUUACUCGGAAUUACUGGGCG
rnacentral:rRNA from 1 species